CCAAUUCUACACACUAAUAAGGCAUAUUCUCCAAAAAGGCACAAACAGAAUGGAAUCUGCUCUUUAGAGAAACAAAAGGUUGCCUUCACACAUUGACCGUGAUUUACUAAAAGUGGAGUUGUUUUGGAAAUUGCCUGGGAGAAGAAGCAGAAAUGAGGUUCGGGAUACCUUUCCGGAUUCCAGCGUAGGUGCUGUUAAGUCCACUGCGUUUCUUGCGAUGACGGUACAACCAGAUGCUAAAGACCAUCAGGAUGAUCCAGCAAGCAGCCCCGAUCCCUGCAAUAAAGGCCGGUUGCUUUACAACAUCUGAUA